UUUUGCAAAACAUAUUAUGAGUGAAAGUAUAAUAUUUACGAGUGAAGUCAUGACUCCAAAUACACACAAUGUGAUUCUGUAAUAAGAUCCUAACUACUUGCACGAUUUUCGAAUUUUAUUUUUUUUUAAUUAAACAAUUACGGAUGGAAAUAAUAAUGGAGAAAUUAAAAGGAAAUCGUCACUCCUGCGGAAGCUAUUUUGUUGAUCACUGUAACUGUGAACUCGUUCCUGGCAA